rnacentral:rRNA from 1 species
AUUGAACGCUGGCGGCAUGCCUUACACAUGCAAGUCGAACGGCAGCGGACCUUCGGGUGCCGGCGAGUGGCGAACGGGUGAGUAAUAUAUCGGAACGUACCUUUCAGUGGGGGAUAACGUAGCGAAAGUUACGCUAAUACCGCAUAUUCUGUGAGCAGGAAAGCAGGGGAUCGCAAGACCUUGCGCUGAUUGAGCGGCCGAUAUCAGAUUAGCUAGUUGGUGAGGUAAAGGCUCACCAAGGCGACGAUCCUUAGCUGGUCUGAGAGGAUGAUCAGCCACACUGGAACUGAGACACGGUCCAGACUCCUACGGGAGGCAGCAGUGGGGAAUAUUGCGCAAUGGGCGAAAGCCUGACGCAGCCAUGCCGCGUGUGUGAAGAAGGCCCUUGGGUUGUAAAGCACUUUCAAUUGGGAAGAAAGGUUGCGUGUUAAUAGCACGUAGCUGUGACGUUACCUUUAGUAAGAAGCACCGGCUAACUCCG